rnacentral:tRNA from 1 species
GGGGUUGUGGCUCAGUGGUAGACCGCUCGCCUAGCAUGUGUGAGUCACUGGAUUCGAUCCUCAGCAUCA